rnacentral:lncRNA from 1 species
UUUACACAUGGAGCAGGAAGCCCCACACUAUUUCUAUCAGGCUCGCUUACCAAAUCUCUAUGAUGGUCCAUUAUUCUAAUAGUUAUUGGUAAGAAAGUCUGUGGGUUUUUCCAAGUCCUCAGACCCUUGAGAUGUGUUGUGCUGUUACUGAAAAUGGAUGAAGAGGAUUGGGAAUUUACCUCCAUUCAAAGUCUUUUGGGGAUGUCUACUCCAAGCAUGUGAAGAAUUCACUGAAAGAAUGGGAAGAUUAGAACAAUUUGUUCCAGUGGCCAUGAAGGCAGCUGAAGCAAGAAAUGUGGAAUGCCUAGAGAUUAGUUAGACAUUGAAAAUGCCAAGGUUAUCAAUUGUAUCCCAAACCAUCACCAGUAUCUUGACUUUUACCGUGCCAGAGGACUUCAAUGACUCAAAAAGAGAGUGUGACUGACAACUUUCUGCAAUUUUACCUUACUUAAAUCCAAUUCACAAGCAAGUCAAAACAUCACUCUUUGAUAUCAUUAAUCCUCUUUGAAAAUGAAAGAUGAACAACAACAACUUUACAGUAUGGAGCUUCUCAUCCUUACUUCCCCCUGUAGAUAUAACUCCCUUUAACAGACUGUCCCAUUAGGAGGGAAAUACAAUGGAUAUCCCAUGACUUUCUUUGCUCUUUAUGAAAGUUCACUCUAAUUUUUCUGUUACCUGCUGAUUACAUAUUAGCAAUGAGGCCUCAUGCUAUAGCAACCUACUGACAAUGCUAUCUACAUGAGAUUUUUUCCUGAUACAAAAUGCACCAGGUAACUUCCCUCAUUACAUAUGAUUUAAAAUCAUUUAAAAGGUAUAAAAUGUUAUUUUUGAACUCUUUAAUAUCUAUGUCUGAAUAUUGUUCAUAUGUUAUGUAUUAACUGUGCGACCCUAAACAAGUCACUUAAUCUCUAUCUGCCUCAGUUCUCCUAUUUUAAAAAUGGAGAUAAUAAUAGAGUUGUUGUGGG